UCUGCCGAUGAAGGGCUAAGCUAGUUUGACCACGGGUGGACCUGAGCCAAGUCCAGACCCUUGACAUACAGCCAGCCUCCUCUGAGUAUGUGGUUCAUGCACUGAACUCCAAAGCAGCAUAUGUCUGAGAAGAGUAAAAGGCGCACCUCUCCGUGGGUAGACAUGGAAGCCUCAUGCACAAGGUAGCUUUAUCAGCGGAUGUCCAAAAUUUGUACAGCCUGAUGAUGUCCCUGCUAAGGUGAAUGGGCAGAGAAACCGUGGUGUGUCCACGCAACAGGACACUGCAGGAAGCAGCCACAUGAAAGACGGAUCCCAGAACAUGUCAGAGAGUUGGCUGGCCAGAGGGUUCACGCCCAGCAACUGAGGCACAUAAUAUCCAGAGAUCACCAAGUUCUACUGCACAAGAGCAGAGGGGCAUUUAUUUACCUGAGGUGGGGCAGGAGGGUGAGAGGGUAGAGAGCGGGGAGAAAGGGGCAGGAAGAGACUUUUAAAAGGAAUAUUUCUGUUUGUUUUUAAAAUCUUGGCUUUUUUCUUAUUCAUGUGCCUGUAUAUGUCUGGGGGUAUUUGCACCGGUGCACACGUGUGUGGGUGU
rnacentral:lncRNA from 1 species